UGCGUGACGAGAGGAGCAGAGGACGAGAGGGGGUUCGGGUUCCGCUCAGAAACAYUGUGAUAAACAAACCGCGAAAAUCUGAGUUUAAAGGGCGCUGUUAGUCCAGCCGCUGUAGAGCAUGUGUUUUUGACUCCAGUCCGUGUUUUGCCCGCAGCCUUGCCUUCCGUCCCUGUGAUUGGGUUUGUGUCUGUCAGGCCAUGGCCCCAGCGGUGUGGGCGGUGCUUCGGACGGUAUCACGUCCGCUAGUCUCCGURCUGAAAUCAAACGCACCUGAAGGAGCAGCUCCUCGGAGGUUCGGGCCCGCUGUUCCCCGYUGCUGCAGAGCCAAAUCCAGUACGGUGAGAAGCCCACAGUCUGCAGCCAGCAUGCCUGAGAUCACCACAGACCACCUGGAUGAGAAGCAGG